CGAUCUCCUGGCUCAGGAUGAACGCUGGCGGUAUGCUUAACACAUGCAAGUCGAACGAAAGCUUUAUGCUUUAGUGGCGAACGGGUGCGUAAUACGUGAGAAUCUGCCCUUAGGAGGAGAAUAACUUCUGGAAACGGUUGCUAAGUCUCCAUAUGCCGAGAGGUAAAAUAGUUUACACUGCCUAGGGAUGAGCUCACGCCUGAUUAGCUUGUUGGUAAGGUAAUGGCUUACCAAGGCCACGAUCAGUAGCUGGUUUGAGAGAACGAUCAGCCACACUGGGACUGAGACACGGCCCAGACUCCUCCGGGAGGCAGCAGUGAGGAAUUUUCCGCAAUGGGCGAAAGCCUGACGGAGCAAUACCGCGUGAGGGAUGAAGGAUUUUGGUCUGUAAACCUCUUUUCUCAAGAAAGAAGUUCUGACGGUACUUGAGGAAUAAGCAUCGGCUAACUCCGUGCCAGCAGCCGCGGUAAUACGGGGGAUGCAAGCGUUAUCCGGAUUUAUUGGGCGUAAAGCGCCUGUAGGUUGUUUAAUAAGUCUGUUGUUAAAGACUAGGGCUUAACCCUAGGAAAGCAAUGGAAACUACUAGACUUGAGUAUGAUAGGGGUAGAGGGAAUUUCUAGUGUAGCGGUGAAAUGCGUAGAUAUUAGAAAGAACACCGGUGGCGAAGGCGCUCUACUGGAUCAUUACUGACACUCAGAGGCGAAAGCUAGGGUAGCAAAAGGGAUUAGAUACCCCUGUAGUCCUAGCCGUAAACGAUGGAUACUACAUGUUGCGUUUUUAAUGCAGUAUGGUAGCUAACGCGUUAAGUAUCCCGCCUGGGGAGUACGGUCGCAAGGCUGAAACUCAAAGGAAUUGACGGGGGCCCGCACAAGCGGUGGAGCAUGUGGUUUAA
rnacentral:rRNA from 1 species